CUCCUUCCUCUCUCCCUCCUUGUCCCAUUUUCCCCCUCCUUCUCUCUCUUCUCUUUGUGUUUCGACCCCAUCGACGGAUCACUUUCUCUGACAGGUGACGGAUGGUGGAAGGCCAGGCUCCCUCUCUCUCACCCCUCCCCACUUCACUGGUCCCUUUGGUGGUGGAUCCGCCCUCUUCAGCACAGUAAAUAGUGGACUCGUCCUCCCUCUCUUCUCUUUGUGUUUGGGUCUCCUUCGACUGGAUGUGCGGUGGAUGGUGGACCCACCC
rnacentral:lncRNA from 1 species